rnacentral:misc_RNA from 2 species
CAGGGUCUCACGACUCUCAAACCCAACCGUGCUCAAACACAUAUAUUCUGCUGCGGCGGGCCGCUCGCUCGGGGAGCCCCAGGCCUUUUACAGGUGGUCUGCCAAAGCAACUUACAAUUCUUUUUGAAAAAGUCACAAAACUUUCUUGAAAAUCAAUCA